rnacentral:rRNA from 1 species
AGUGGCAGACGGGUGAGUACAUGUAGGUAUCUACCCUAUGGCCUGGAAUAACACGAGGAAACUUGUGCUAAUACCGGAUAAGUCUUUACGGAGAAAGCUUUAUGCACCAUUGGAUGAGCCUGCACUUGAUUAGUUUGUUGGUGGGGUAAUGGCCUACCAAGACUGUGAUCAAUAGCUGAUUUGAGAGGAUGAUCAGCCACAUUGGGACUGAGACACGGCCCAAACUCCUACGGGAGGCAGCAGUGGGGAAUCUUGCACAAUGGAGGAAACUCUGAUGCAGCGAUGCCGCGUGAGUGAAGAAGGCCCUUGGGUUGUAAAGCUCUUUCGUCGGGGAAGAAAAUGACUGUACCCGAAUAAGAAGGUCCGGCUAACUUCGUGCCAGCAGCCGCGGUAAUACGAAGGGACCUAGCGCAGUUCGGAAUUACUGGGCUUAAAGAGUUCGUAGGUGGUUGAAAAAGUUGGUGGUGAAAUCCCAGAGCUUAACUCUGGAACUGCCAUCAAAACUUUUCAGCUAGAGUAUGAUAGAGGAAAGCAGAAUUUCUAGUGUAGAGGUGAAAUUCGUAGAUAUUAGAAAGAAUACCCAUUGCGAAGGCAUCUUUCUGGAUCAUUACUGAC